GGGUGAAGACUACAAAUAAGGACAGGCAAUAUGCCAAUAAUACAUGGAUGAUCAGAACAUUGAAAGACAAGUCAGUGGAUCAAACACACAUAAGACAACCUUUUAUGUCAAGCAAUCUUGAGAAUUCUUAGGGAAUCCCCACAAGUUAAAGGACAUAUACCCUAGAGCAGUUAAAUUCAUAUCACCCACAGACAGACAGACUCUCUCUCUCUUUAGUUUCUGCUCCUUUCAGUCCAAACUGACACGUAUGCUUUGUCUACCCCAAUUAAUUCACCUGCACUUCAUCAGUCUUCCCAUUCUAAAACUUGCAAAACAUCAUCAUUUUUUCAGCACCAUCCAAACCCUUCAACAUAGGCACACUGCAAUGGCUUCCACUCCACCCAAACCAUCAAAACAGCUUGGAGAACUUCUACAGGACCAACAAGAUCCUUUCAUCCUUGAGGCUUUUCUCUCAGAAAGAGGGUGUCCGAAGAAGGGCUCAAGUUCAAAAGGUAACUCAAAAAGGUUUCUAAAGAAGUCAGUCAGCUGUUGCCUAAACAAUAGCAGAAAGGGUUUCCCUGCACGCUGCACCAAAAUCCUGAGAGCUGUAUAUAAAAAGUUUGUUUCCAUCAAAGAUCAGGACCAGAGGGAGAAGAUUUCUGAAAAUAGAAAUGAAGAAGAAGAGGAAUCAGAUAGAUUUUCCUCUGCUAGCAGCACAACAGUUUUCGUUUCGUGCUCUGAGAGUGAUAAAGAAGAAAUAUCGACUUCAUUGUGCAAAGAUCACCCCUUUGAUGCAUUGAAUCUCUGCGAUAUAAGAGAGAAAGAGUAUGGUUACUCACAAAGUUAACAGGCUGCAACAGGUAGAAAGCUUGAUGCAUCAGUACUAGAAGAAAUACCCUCCCAUGAAGGUCCCUCCCAUGAAGAACAGUGCAACAAAAUGCCAGGAUAAGACAAGAAGAGAAUUCAACAGCUUUUCCCAAGAAAGUUUCAGAACACUCACUAUCAUCAGCAGCAUCUCCAGGGGAAUUGCUUUUUCACUUGGCAGUAGAGAAGCCAAGUCGUUAUGGAGGAGUUGCAGAGUUGCAAGGGGUUGGCGAGUUGUUGAAAUCGAAAAGGGUGUUGCAACAAACAAAGCAGCUUCUGUUUGAUUGUGUGAGGGAGGUGGUGGAGUCCCAUGCGAGAAAAGAGAGGGGGGAGCAACAUUGCAGAAAGUUGUUGGGGCCUGAAGAGCUUGGGAAGCUCAUCUGUGAAAGAAUAACAUCAUGGGGGAAACAGGCUGGAGACGAAACAAACACAAAUUAUUUAUUGGAUUUGGAUUUCUUGGAUUCAGUGGAAGAAUGGCGUGCUUUUGAACAGCAGAAGAAGGAAAUUGAGUUUGAGAUUGGAGAUACCAUUUUAGAAGAGAUCAAGAAUGAAAUCGUCACAGAAAUGUUUGAUUUUCUGGCACCAACUACAUGUUGAGCUUACCUAAUCACCACCUCUUCCAUGUUAUGUUUACCCUCGUCCUUUCCAUCUUCGUUGAACUCCAAACACCAACCAGCAGCUGAUCUCCGCCGAUUCUUCAUGUACAAAAGAGAACAUUUCUUUUUGAGCAAGGGAAAAAAAAAAUGUAGCUAACCCACACUGGUAAGCUACCUUUUUAAUUUUUA